GCUGGUGUAAAUGAUGACCUCACUUUUUUCCCCGUCAUAUCGAAAAUGCUGAUUUCUUAGAAAUAUUUGCCAGUUAUUUCUGAUACACCAGC
rnacentral:snoRNA from 1 species